AGACGCCCUUGGACCAUUCCAGGCUGAUCCACAGAGGGAGGGAGGAUACAGCUAGGAUGAAAACCUCACAAUUCGCUGGAGUGGUGGACUCGGCAAGAAGUCUUCCUAAACAGAUACUUACCUCCCUGAAGUGGCACCACUAUAACAGGGAGCUUUAACAAGCGUUUUCUCUGUGCUGGGCAUCGGGCUUGUUUAUGCCUCACUGGGUCAUACAGAACAGGCCUACUGGCGGAAGCCAGCCAAAGUCCCUCAGGGGCAGGAGGGAGAAAGGUCCCGACUGGGCUCCGAAGUCCUGAUGAGGGGGCAGGCCUCUGUCCUUGACUGUGAGUACUGGGGGAAAAGGACAACGGGACCUUUGCUUGUUAGGUAAAGUCCAUCUCGCAGGGGUUGCUAUGCCCCUGAGUAUGUGAGAUAAAGUCCACAGGAUUUGUCACUAUCCUGUUACCUCUGAACAUGUUCCCUGGCAGAAUUCUAGGCCUGUCUAGCUCUACUUCUCUGAACAACUUUGAAUCUCUCUAUUCAUUCCUUCCCUCCAAGGAUGCAUCAAACUGAAUUAUCGGUGUCAGGAGAGAAAAAAAAAAAAACCUCUCAUGGAGCUUACAUUCUUUUGAAAUCAUACAGCCCCCAAAGGUAUGUGAUUUGUCAGGUGUUGGUAACUGCUGUGAUUAAAAUUAAAUCAGAAUCGUCAAAUAGAGAGGAGGGGGCCUAUCUAGAAAGAGCAGUCAGGGAAGGUCUUUCUAAGAUUGUGACAUUUGAGCGGAAACCUAGAGGAGAGGAACAUCUGAAAGAGAUGCAUGCCCCCCCCCUCCCCCGAGUUCGGUACGGGUCAGUGGAAAAGUUCCGGGGUGUAACUCAGUCUGUCAUGUGUGAGAAGGUGAGGAGGCUGAUUUGGCUGGCUCAGCAUGAUGGAGGGAGGGGUAGGAGAUCUGGUGAAGGGGUAAUGAGGGCCAGGUCCUGUAGAGCCUUCUGGGCCAUGGUGAGGACUUUGUCUUGAGCCUCCAGAGGCCUUUUUAGCAGAGAAUUCCCGUGUGUCUCUCUGAGGCCAGAGGCCCAAGUCGCCCCCUUGAGGAGGUGGAGCUCUUGGUUUACCCCAAAGAAGAGCCCCCUCCCCAGCCUCUCUGGGGAAGCUGAACAUGCUUUCCUGGAAGAUUAUGGAGACUCAAGGGGAAUCCCCCCAACUGCUCCCCAUGAAUAUCCAUGUCCAAAGAUGAUAUGCUCAUGUGGGGAAAAGCAAGGGCCCUCAUGGUGUGAGCGAGGUCACACCCUGUCCUGUACAAAAGCACAGGAGGGAAACGAAUAGAGAUUGGAACAGAGAGUAGAAGAAGAAUAAAUAUAAUCAAUGAAACCGAAUGUUGUUUCUUUGAAAAGAGCAGUACGAAUUCAUAAAAUUGCACCCAGAGAGACACAGAAAAUGAUAAAUCCUGCCUCAUAGCACAGGGUCCUAUAUCUAGUCACUUGUGAUGGAACAUGAUGGAGGAUAAUUUGGGAAAAGAAUACACACACACACACACACACACUUCUGGGUCAGUUUGCUGUACAGCAGAAAUUGACAGAACAGUAUAAAUCAUUACAAUAGAAAAAAUAAAAAUCUUAAAGAAUGAUAAAAAGACACAACAAUAUGAGGAAUGACACAGAUAUAAAUGUAAAAUGAUCUAACAAAAUGGGGACACAUAUUGUGUUCAUAGGUUGAUAAAUGCAAUAUAAUUGGGAUGUCAACAGUCCCCAAAAAGAUCCAUCAAUGUCAUACAAUUCCAAUGUAAAAUGCCAGCAGGAUUUUUUGGUACAUAUAGACUGAUUACAAACUUUCUGUGGUAAGGCAAAGGCAAAUGAACGAGAAUAGCCAAAUUAAUUUUCGAAAAGUAAACUGGAGGACUAACACCAACUUUAACAUUUACCAUGCAGCUUCAGCCAACAUAUGUUAACGUAAGUGUCCAAGUAAGGAUGAAUGGGUAAAGAAAACGUGGUGACAUACACAAUGGGGUAUUAUUCAGCCAUAAAAAGUAGAGUCCUGCCUUUUGCAACAACAUGGAUGGACGUUGAAGGCUAAGUGAAAGAAGUCAGAGAGAGAAAGGCAAAUGCAUGUUCUCUCUUACAUCUGGAAUCUGAACAAAGUCUAAGUCACAGAAAUAGAGUUUAGAAUGGUGCUUGCCAGGGGCUGGGGGAAAUGGUGGUCAAAGGGUACAAACUUCUAGCUAUAAGAUGAAUAAGUUAUGGGGAUCUAACGUAGAGCAUGGUGACGAUACUUAAUAUUGUAUUAUGUACUGAAAAUUAAGUGGCGCAGUGGGUUAAGGACCCAGUGUUUUCACUGCCAUGGCUCGGGUGGCUGCUGUGGAGUGGGGUCGAGCCCUGGACCAGGAACUUCCUCAUCCUUCAGAGCAGCCAAAAACAAAACAACACACACACACACACACACACACACACACACACACACACAGAGAGAGAGAGAGAGAGAGAGAGAGAAAUAAAAGGAAAAGAGAGAAGAACUGAAAUGUUAUCACCAAAAAAUUCUUAAAAACAUAAUGAUGUGAGUGGAUACAGUGCUAACUAACCGUAUUGUGGUAAUCAUUUUGCCAUAUAUGUGUAUCAAAUCAUGAUAUUGAGCACCUGAAACUUUCAUGGUUUGAGUCGGUAAUACCUCAAUAAACCUGGAAGAA
rnacentral:lncRNA from 9 species